rnacentral:rRNA from 1 species
GGGGAAUAUUGGACAAUGGGCGCAAGCCUGAUCCAGCCAUACCGCGUGGGUGAAGAAGGCCUUCGGGUUGUAAAGCCCUUUUGUUGGGAAAGAAAAGCAGUCGAUUAAUACUCGGUUGUUCUGACGGUACCCAAAGAAUAAGCACCGGCUAACUUCGUGCCAGCAGCCGCGGUAAUACGAAGGGUGCAAGCGUUACUCGGAAUUACUGGGCGUAAAGCGUGCGUAGGUGGUUGUUUAAGUCUGUUGUGAAAGCCCUGGGCUCAACCUGGGAAUUGCAGUGGAUACUGGGCGACUAGAGUGUGGUAGAGGGUAGUGGAAUUCCCGGUGUAGCAGUGAAAUGCGUAGAGAUCGGGAGGAACAUCCAUGGCGAAGGCAGCUACCUGGACCAACACUGACACUGAGGCACGAAAGCGUGGGGAGCAAAC